rnacentral:rRNA from 1 species
GCAGUAGCCGCGGUAAUACGGAGGGUGCAAGCGUUAAUCGGAAUUACUGGGCGUAAAGCGCACGCAGGCGGUUUGUUAAGUCAGGUGUGAAAUCCCCGAGCUUAACUUGGGAACUGCAUUUGAAACUGGCAAGCUAGAGUCUUGUAGAGGGGGGUAGAAUUCCAGGUGUAGCGGUGAAAUGCGUAGAGAUCUGGAGGAAUACCGGUGGCGAAGGCGGCCCCCUGGACAAAGACUGACGCUCAGGUGCGAAAGCGUGGGGAGCAAACAGGAUUAGAUACCCGCGUAGUCCCUGUCUCUUAUAC